rnacentral:rRNA from 1 species
UAGUCUGACUCUGUGAAGAGACAUGAGAGGAUGAGAGGUGUAGCAUAAGUGGGAGGCCGUGAACCCUCGUGGUUGUGUCGUGCCGACAGUGAAAUAGCACUACUUUUAUCGUUUGUUUACUUACUCGGUGAAGCGGAAAGCGGACCAUGAGUGAAGCGGAAAGCGGACCACUUCGGCCACACAAGUUUGGCAGUUACUCUCCCUCAGCUGUACAAUAAAGUCCAGAAAACGUUGUUUUUUUUUGUUUUUUUUUGCCUAGGUGCUUUAGUUUUUGUUUAAAAAAAAUGAAACAAAUUUAAGUUUGACGCGCCGCUCAAUUCCGCACCGUUUCCGUGUUUGCGGGAUUAGUGACGUGAGUCGGGCCCGAGGGGGGCACCCGGAGACAUCCGGUUUCAUGCCGAAGAUCCAGACAUGUAUG